GGGGAGAUACUCAAGCGGCCAACGAGGGCAGACUGUAAAUCUGCUGUCUUACGACUUCGGAGGUUCGAAUCCUCCUCUCCCCA
rnacentral:tRNA from 1 species